CCCCGUACACAAAAAUGCACAUGCUGUGAGCUCGAUGAGUAGGGCGGGACACGUGGUAUCCUGUCUGAAUAUGGGGGGACCAUCCUCCAAGGCUAAAUACUCCUGACUGACCGAUAGUGAACCAGUACCGUGAGGGAAAGGCGAAAAGAACCCCGGCGAGGGGAGUGAAAAAGAACCUGAAACCGUGUACGUACAAGCAGUGGGAGCACGCUUCGGCGUGUGACUGCGUACCUUUUGUAUAAUGGGUCAGCGACUUAUAUUCUGUAGCAAGGUUAACCGAAUAGGGGAGCCGAAGGGAAACCGAGUCUUAACUGGGCGUUAAGUUGCAGGGUAUAGACCCGAAACCCGGUGAUCUAGCCAUGGGCAGGUUGAAGGUUGGGUAACACUAACUGGAGGACCGAACCGACUAAUGUUGAAAAAUUAGCGGAUGACUUGUGGCUGGGGGUGAAAGGCCAAUCAAACCGGGAGAUAGCUGGUUCUCCCCGAAAGCUAUUUAGGUAGCGCCUCGUGAAUUCAUCUCCGGGGGUAGAGCACUGUUUCGGCAAGGGGGUCAUCCCGACUUACCAACCCGAUGCAAACUGCGAAUACCGGAGAAUGUUAUCACGGGAGACACACGGCGGGUGCUAACGUCCGUCGUGAAGAGGGAAACAACCCAGACCGCCAGCUAAGGUCCCAAAGUCAUGGUUAAGUGGGAAACGAUGUGGGAAGGCCCAGACAGCCAGGAUGUUGGCUUAGAAGCAGCCAUCAUUUAAAGAAAGCGUAAUAGCUCACUGGUCGAGUCGGCCUGCGCGGAAGAUGUAACGGGGCUAAACCAUG
rnacentral:rRNA from 1 species